UGCUGGAGGUAUCAGAAGUGCGAAUGCUGACAUAAGUAACGAUAAAGCGGGUGAAAAGCCCGCUCGCCGGAAGACCAAGGGUUCCUGUCCAACGUUAAUCGGGGCAGGGUGAGUCGACCCCUAAGGCGAGGCCGAAAGGCGUAGUCGAUGGGAAACGGGUUAAUAUUCCCGUACUUGGUGUUACUGCGAAGGGGGGACGGAGAAGGCUAUGUUGGCCGGGCGACGGUUGUCCCGGUUUAAGCGUGUAGGCUGGUUUUCCAGGCAAAUCCGGAAAAUCAAGGCUGAGGCGUGAUGACGAGGCACUACGGUGCUGAAGCAACAAAUGCCCUGCUUCCAGGAAAAGCCUCUAAGCAUCAGGUAACAUCAAAUCGUACCCCAAACCGACACAGGUGGUCAGGUAGAGAAUACCAAGGCGCUUGAGAGAACUCGGGUGAAGGAACUAGGCAAAAUGGUGCCGUAACUUCGGGAGAAGGCACGCUGACACGUAGGUGAAGUGAUUUACUCAUGGAGCUGAAGUCAGUCGAAGAUACCAGCUGGCUGCAACUGUUUAUUAAAAACACAGCACUGUGCAAACACGAAAGUGGACGUAUACGGUGUGACGCCUGCCCGGUGCCGGAAGGUUAAUUGAUGGGGUCAGCGCAAGCGAAGCUCCUGAUCGAAGCCCCGGUAAACGGCGGC
rnacentral:rRNA from 1 species